UGGGGAAUAUUGGACAAUGGGCGAAAGCCUGAUCCAGCAAUACCGAGUGAGUGAUGAAGGCCCUAGGGUUGUAAAGCUCUUUUAGCAAGGAAGAUAAUGACGUUACUUGCAGAAAAAGCCCCGGCUAACUCCGUGCCAGCAGCCGCGGUAAGACGGAGGGGGCUAGCGUUGUUCGGAAUUACUGGGCGUAAAGAGUGCGUAGGCGGUUUAGUAAGUUGGAAGUGAAAGCCCGGGGCUUAACCUCGGAAUUGCUUUCAAAACUACUAAUCUAGAGUGUAGUAGGGGAUGAUGGAAUUCCUAGUGUAGAGGUGAAAUUCUUAGAUAUUAGGAGGAACACCGGUGGCGAAGGCGGUCAUCUGGGCUACAACUGACGCUGAUGCACGAAAGCGUGGGGAGCAAACA
rnacentral:rRNA from 2 species